GCGGAAGUGGUGGAAUUGGUAGACACGCUACCUUGAGGUGGUAGUGGGAUUUCCUGUAGGGGUUCGAGUCCCCUCUUUCGCA
rnacentral:tRNA from 1 species